AGUGUACUGCGCACGUAACGAUCGUUGCUUCGCGUAUAUAAAUAAGCGUAAGAGAUAUUGAUAACCUCGUUACGGUGCGCCGCCGAUAUUUUCGUACAGCCGCACCGGAUCUGUAUAUAAGUACUUGUAAGCAUUUUGGCAUCUUGUGUAACGUAUACAUAUAAUAACGUUCAAGCAUUCAAGUUACGAAGCUGCGGAAUUCUCGUAUGGUACGUGAAAAUUUGUAAAUGCACAUCGGGCGGCUCGAUCGAAGUAUAAACAUUGCAGAGACGACGAUUGAAAGUCAAAGUGGCUCGAGGAAAAGAAGUCGCUAAAGUGGGUUUGUAAGUAUAUACAAAUUAUGCAGGUUUCUUGGUGGUGACAAGAGAGAUGGAAAAUUUGAAUUGUGUCAAAAGUAUAGGUUUGGGGUUUAUGUAAAUAAAGGAUAUUGAACUUGUUAUGGCUAUAUCUUUUUUUAUUGAUUGGUAAAUAACUAAAAAGGUAGAUCUUGAUGAUCUAAUGAUAAAAGAAAUUAGUGUAACGCGAGAAUGAUAAAAAUCUUUAAAUCAUUUGUAUGUUACAGCAACUGCAGACUUCCGUCUUCAUUUAUGACUAAAAAUUAGCAUUAGAUUCAAAUUAAGACAAAAAAGGUCGUUCUUUUUAAAUUGAAUGUAUGCAAUUCGUUUAUUCCCAUUGAACAAAACGACUCAAGACGUUUAAAAGUCACUCAACAAAAGUAACAAUGCUACCAUAAAUAGCUUUAUCUAUUUGUAAAAAAACUACUGGUAUAAUUAUCUUUAUUACUUCAACAGUAUAAAGAACUAUGUCUAUAGAUUCGUUACAAAAAAUAGUCUUUGAAUGAGUCAGCUUUAAAAUAGCUCUUUUUCUCUAAGCAGUAAAAUAAAAAAAUAACUUUAUCAAUAAGCUAAUAUCACAGUUGUCAGGUACUCUCGAUUGGCGGAUAAUCCGUGGAUCGUUCCUGAAAAUGAAAAAGAUAUCGAAUUAAAGUGAGAGCGGAGUCUGGAUAAUGCAUGGAUCAUGGGAGUCUCGUCGUUGUAUGAGAAGUAUUAAAAAGUGAUGUAAAAAAUAAACCCUCGAGUAAAUGCUUGUAUACAGUUUGUAUUUGAUUCUGUAUCUGUUGCGUAUAUCAUUUCGUGACGGCAGAGUCACUGUUACAGUCAUAGAAAAGCCGUAUCUCGCUCUUCCUCAAGUCGCUCGGAUUAGAUUUGUAUUAGAUUAUAUAGAUCCAUCGGUUUCUGUUUUGUUUAUAA